ACCAAUCCUUCUAUUCCACCAUUGCGCCUAUGACUAAGUCGGCGUCUCCUUGCGCCUGCGGCUCCACGGCAACUUCCUCGACACCGAAUACCCCGACUCGACAUAGACCACGGCGUUCUUCGCACGGCUACCUCGACCACGGCUACAUCAUCCUACGCUCUCGGCUACCUCGACAAACGCACAAAGGGCUAUCGCCUUCCUUGAGCAACCUCGUCAGUUUUCACUCCAGCCAAAACUUCCGCGAUACAUCGACUGUUACGACUGUGGGGGGAUGAUCGUCG
rnacentral:lncRNA from 1 species